UACAGAGGGUGCAAGCGUUAAUCGGAAUUACUGGGCGUAAAGCGUGCGCAGAUGGUUGCGUAAGUCAGAUGUGAAAGCCCCGGGCUCAACCUGGGAAUUGCAUUUGAGACUGCGUAGCUAGGGUGCGGAAGAGGGAAGCGGAAUUUCCGGUGUAGCGGUGAAAUGCGUAGAUAUCGGAAGGAACACCAGUGGCGAAAGCGGCUUCCUGGUCCAGCACCGACGUUCAGGCACGAAA
rnacentral:rRNA from 1 species